rnacentral:rRNA from 1 species
GACGAACGCUGGCGGCGUGCUUAACACAUGCAAGUCGAACGGAGAGGCCCUGCUUUUGUGGGGUGCUCGAGUGGCGAACGGGUGAGUAACACGUGAGUAACCUGCCCUUGACUUUGGGAUAACUUCAGGAAACUGGGGCUAAUACCGGAUAGGAGCUCCUGCUGCAUGGUGGGGGUUGGAAAGUUUCGGCGGUUGGGGAUGGACUCGCGGCUUAUCAGCUUGUUGGUGGGGUAGUGGCUUACCAAGGCUUUGACGGGUAGCCGGCCUGAGAGGGUGACCGGCCACAUUGGGACUGAGAUACGGCCCAGACUCCUACGGGAGGCAGCAGUGGGGAAUAUUGCACAAUGGGCGGAAGCCUGAUGCAGCAACGCCGCGUUCGGGAUGACGGCCUUCGGGUUGUAAACCGCUUUCGCCUGUGACGAAGCGUGAGUGACGGUAAUGGGUAAAGAAGCACCGGCUAACUACGUG